CCUACUGGGCACCAACUGACGCUGAGGCUCGAAAGUGUGGGUAGCAAACAGGAUUAGAUACCCUGGUAGUCCACACCGUAAACGAUGAUUACUAGGUGUUGGAGGAUUGACCCCUUCAGUGCCGCAGUUAACACAAUAAGUAAUCCACCUGGGGAGUACGACCGCAAGGUUGAAACUCAAAGGAAUUGACGGGGGCCCGCACAAGCAGUGGAGUAUGUGGUUUAAUUCGACGCAACGCGAAGAACCUUACCAAGUCUUGACAUCCCUUGACGAUGCUGGAAACAGUAUUUCUCUUCGGAGCAAGGAGACAGGUGGUGCAUGGUUGUCGUCAGCUCGUGUCGUGAGAUGUUGGGUUAAGUCCCGCAACGAGCGCAACCCUUAUGGUCAGUUACUACGCAAGAGGACUCUGGCCAGACUGCCGUUGACAAAACGGAGGAAGGUGGGGAUGACGUCAAAUCAUCAUGCCCUUUAUGACUUGGGCUACACACGUACUACAAUGGCGUUAAACAAAGAGAAGCAAGACCGCGAGGUGGAGCAAAACUCAAAAACAACGUCUCAGUUCAGAUUGCAGGCUGCAACUCGCCUGCAUGAAGUCGGAAUUGCUAGUAAUCGCGGAUCAGCAUGCCGCGGUGAAUACGUUCCCGGGCCUUGUACACACCGCCCGUCACACCAUGAGAGCCGGGGGGACCCGAAGUCGGUAGUCUAACCGCAAGGAGGACGCCGCCGAAGGUAAAACUGGUGAUUGGGGUGAAGUCGUAACAAGGUAGCCGUAGGAGAACCUGCGGCUG
rnacentral:rRNA from 1 species